GGAGUGAGGAGCAGUGUAGGAUGCAGGGACAGCUUCAGAGGGAAACGAGAUCAUUAACCACGCAGAGACCACGCCGGGCAUUAGGCGGAAGGACCGUCCGGAGAAAAUGCACAGUUGCUCUGAGAAGUGGAUAGGAUGGCUGGCAGAGAGCAUGCGUGUAUGACAACAGACCCCCAUGUGCCCUGAGACUGACAAUAGGCAGACAAUCCAGGACUGUGCAGAGUGCAGUUUCCUUGCAGAAGCAUGGGCCUUGGUAGCAGAAGACCAAGUGGAUCUCUUCGAUUUGGAUCACAAAGAGGGGACGUGUAUCGGUGAAGACAAAGUGACUUCAUCUAAACCAGUUCAUGGUGCCACCCAGUGAAAAGGAAAAGCACGAUGCUGUGUCCUCAUACACUUUAUUCAGCAGAUCUGGUGCUGUGUGACUCCUGGCCUCUCCUCAGCGUCGAAGCAAACACGAGAAGGACACUCUUCAAAUCAACUCAGGACGUCAAGGCAGCUAUGACAGUACAACACAAGUCACUCAGGAAAGAGGAUUCCAGAGCUGUUUCGGAAAGCGGUGAGGACACUGCAACGAGAGUGUGUGAAGGGAGGCGGGGUGAGGGAGAGUUAGUGGAUGUGUCUUGUGGUGA